rnacentral:lncRNA from 1 species
UGUAACAACUCACAGAACCCCAUGGAGCAUUCCAGUGACAAAAACCAGGCUGUGUGGAGCUCCAGGCCGGCGUGUGCCUAUUUUCGCCUGGGUCACGGGUCUAGGCUGGGAUUCCGCGUCUGUGCACUGCUUGUCACGGUAGUGUGAGCCGAGGAGACGCUCAUCAAGGUGAUCUCAGCACGAGAUGCUCACAAUGCGAGCCCCAGUGCCUCUAACAAAGGCAGACCGCAUUAACUCCCCGGUGUGGCUGUGUGUGAG